rnacentral:rRNA from 1 species
AGUGAACGCUGGCGGUAGGCCUAACACAUGCAAGUCGAACGGCAGCACAGUAAGAGCUUGCUCUUACGGGUGGCGAGUGGCGGACGGGUGAGGAAUACAUCGGAAUCUACUUUUUCGUGGGGGAUAACGUAGGGAAACUUACGCUAAUACCGCAUACGACCUACGGGUGAAAGCAGGGGAUCUUCGGACCUUGCGCGAUUGAAUGAGCCGAUGUCGGAUUAGCUAGUUGGCGGGGUAAAGGCCCACCAAGGCGACGAUCCGUAGCUGGUCUGAGAGGAUGAUCGGCCGCACUAGAACUGAGACACGGUCCAGACUCCUACGGGAGGCAGCAGUGGGGGAUAUUGGACAAUGGGCGCAAGCCUGAUCCAGCCAUACCGCGUGGGUGAAGAAGGCCUUCGGGUUGUAGAGCCCUUUUGUUGGGAAAGAAAAGCAGCAGGUUAAUACCCCGCUGUUCUGACGGUACCCAAAGAAUAAGCACCGGCUAACUUCGUG